ACGAACGCUGGCGGCGUGCUUAACACAUGCAAGUCGAACGCUGAACCCGCUUCGGUGGGGGAUGAGUGGCGAACGGGUGAGUAACACGUGGGCAACCUGCCCCCGGCUCUGGGAUAACUCCAAGAAAUUGGGGCUAAUACCGGAUGUGACCGCUGGCCGCAUGGUCUGGUGGUGGAAAGGGUUUCCGGCUGGGGAUGGGCCCGCGGCCUAUCAGCUUGUUGGUGGGGUAGUGGCCUACCAAGGCGACGACGGGUAGCCGGCCUGAGAGGGUGACCGGCCACACUGGGACUGAGACACGGCCCAGACUCCUACGGGAGGCAGCAGUGGGGAAUAUUGCGCAAUGGGCGGAAGCCUGACGCAGCGACGCCGCGUGGGGGAUGACGGCCUUCGGGUUGUAAACCUCUUUCAGCAGGGACGAAGCGCAAGUGACGGUACCUGCAGAAGAAGCACUGGCCAACUACGUG
rnacentral:rRNA from 1 species